rnacentral:rRNA from 1 species
UACGUAGGGCGCAAGCGUUGUCCGGAAUUAUUGGGCGUAAAGAGCUCGUAGGCGGUUUGUCGCGUCUGUCGUGAAAGCUUGGGGCUUAACCCCAAGUCUGCGGUGGAUACGGGCAGACUAGAGGCAGGUAGGGGAGAACGGAAUUCCCGGUGUAGCGGUGAAAUGCGCAGAUAUCGGGAGGAACACCGGUGGCGAAGGCGGUUCUCUGGGCCUGUACUGACGCUGAGGAGCGAAAGCUAGGGGAGCGAACGGG